CACCGUUACAAGACUUGACACACUUGAAUUCCUCUCUCUGACUCUGUCACUCUCUAAUUCUCUCUUCUCCACGCCUCCAAUUUCUUAAAUAUUUAAGGAAUGGAGUCUCACUCUUGAUUCCUCUCUCUCUUCCUCCUCCUCCACUAACCACAACAUGUUCCCUGCCUUAGGAUUUCCGGUCAACCUUAGCCCCUCCGAUCCCAACCAUCGGACGGUCCUUGCUGAAGUUGACUUCCUCUCCGCUAGAAACAAUUCAUCACCUCACACUAACGAUCAUGGAACCCCUCCUAAGUCUUAUCCCCAUGUAAAUACCGGUUUACAACUUCUCACCGCAAACGCUGGGAGUGACCAGUCGACGGUGGAUGAUGGGGCCUCGUCGGAGGCUGAAGAUAAGCGUGCCAAGAUGACUGAGCUGGCACGACUGAAAGAGGACCUUCGAAACAUGAAUGCAGAGAACCAAAAGCUGAAGGAGAUGCUCAGCCAUGUCAGCAGUAACUACGCGAACUUGCAAAUGCAUCUUGCAGCAGUACUGCAACAGCAACAGAACCAACGCACUGAGAGCACGGAACAAGAGGUUGUUCAAGGAAAAUUAGCUGAGGAGAGAAAGCAUGGAGUUGGCGGAGGAACGGUGCCUAGACAAUUCCUGAGUUUAGUUCCAAGUGAAAUAGAUGAUCAAGUAUCUAAUUCUUCUUCCGGUGAAAGGACUCGAUCAACCACACCUCCCAGCAAUAAAAAUGAUAAGGAUAACAAAGAGACUGAUGACAAGUUGAACCCUUCCAACCCUACGACGGAUCCAUCCACUAGUCCAGAAGCCGCUAUGAGAAAAGCUCGUGUCUCAGUCCGUGCCCGAUCAGAAGCACCCAUGAUCAGUGAUGGGUGCCAAUGGCGAAAAUAUGGACAAAAGAUGGCUAAGGGAAACCCUUGUCCUCGAGCAUACUACAGAUGCACUAUGGCAGUUGGCUGCCCAGUUCGCAAACAAGUUCAACGUUGUGCGGAGGACAGAACAAUUUUGACAACAACGUACGAAGGGACCCAUAACCAUCCACUGCCACCAGCUGCUAUGGCCAUGGCAUCGACCACUGUAGCUGCUACUAGCAUGUUGUUGUCUGGGUCAAUGUCCAGUGCUGAUGGAAAAAUGAACCCCAAUUUGCUAACUGGAGCUAUUCUUCCAUGCUCUAACAUGGCAACACUUUCAGCUUCAGCACCAUUCCCCACAGUGACAUUGGACCUCACACACAACCCAAAUGCGUUGCAGCAGUACCAAUUAAGACCUCAAACUCAAACCCCAUUCCUCCCGUCACCGCCUCAGAACUUUAUGUCUGGACCCACAACACCACAACUGCCGAAACUGAUUGCACAAGUGCUCUAUAAUCAAUCCAAAUUCUCAGGCCUUCAACUUUCUCAGGAUGUGGGGCCUAAUAAUUCCCAAGCUCCAACACCGUCCUUGUUGCAGCCAAGCCAACAGGUCUCACUCACUGACACCGUCAGUGCCAUCACCGCGGAUCCAAACUUCCCCGCAGCGCUCACGGCCGCCAUCUCCUCCAUUAUCGGUGGUGCUAAUCCAAACAACAACAACAACAGUAGCAAUCCCAAUGUCAUAAAUAGUGCUACAAUUAAUCAAUAGCUUUUCAUCAGGAAACUAAUAGGAAUGAAGUUCUUUGGUUCUUUUCUUUUCUUUUGUCAUAGAUUAUAUUCUUUACUUUUAUUCGUUAAUACGUGGGAAAUUAAAGGGAAAAUGAAUUUGUGAUUCAUGAACCGGUCCAAGAUGAUUGGCAUCUCUGGCCAAAUUCUGUGAUGUUUUUCUACCGUGGUCUUCUUCUCCAUGCAAUGAGAGCAUUAAGGUGAAGGAUACUUUUGAAGGCACUUCAAUAUUUUGGUGUAUUUAAUUUGCUUUGUGACUGGGUCAUUUGUGCUAUGAACUUCAGCUCAAUUACUCUCGUAGGCCAUUGGGUUGGUGUAACAACCCCAAUCAUAGAUUGGGGUUUACACAAUGAUGAGUAAGAGAAAAAUGAGACAAAUGAAUUAGUUACGAUCCAGAAAUGAAGGAAAGAAGGAGGACUGAGAGAGUGCCCGUAACCAAUUUAAGGUGAAGGGACUAUGUGUGACAAGUAGGUAUAUGAGAGUAAAUGAGUGGAUGGGAAAAGGGUGAGGAAUGUGUGAUGAAAUCUUUCCCUCUCUAGAUUAUGAAUUCUCCUCCUCUCUAAUUCUAUUCUUCUCUAUUAUUACUUUCACCAUUGUAAGGUCACUUUUCCUCCUUAGUUCACAAACUGGGAGUUGAUUUGUUCAUAGAAAACAAAAAAACAGUGCCCCUUCUUCUGA